rnacentral:lncRNA from 1 species
CAGCUUUUGAUCAAGAGUAAUUAGGGACAAUUCACUUUCACUUCUGAGCCUUUGAGUUUAGUACACUCUUAUUGUACUUCGGAAUAUUUAGGUGGAUGCAGAGGCUAUGGAAGAUUUCUAACCACUUCUCCAUCGAUGAUUUCUGACAGAGUUGCCUAGGAUUUGCUUCUAGUCUCAAUGGUCUGUACCUAGAAUUGGCAGUGAGCACAAGACAAAGGCAACUCUAGAGGAGACCACAGCACAAUUCCCAGUCUUAGUCUUGCUCCCAGCCUAGUUCCACCAGACCCAGGACACCUGAUUCAGCCAGGUAGGGAGCAGAAGGGGAGAGAGAGCUCAAGAUUACACUCCAAGCCUGUGGCCUCCUGUAAAAUGAUGCAGAAGCAAUAAUCACGAGAUCACAUGCCACCAAGUCCUUCAGUAUUGCACCUGGGGUUUGCAAAAGUCCAUCAGUGACUGUGCAUUGCCCAUGCCUUCAGCUCACUGGAUCUCUCCCUCUGGCUGCCCUGUCUCCAGUUCAAAUUUGGCAUUACAGAAUUUCAAGCUUCCUUUUCUAAAUAAACAGAAUCACA